UACAGAGGUCUCAACCGUUGUUCGGAUUUAUUGGGCGUAAAGGGUGCGUAGGCGGUCGGGUAAGUCGGAUGUGAAAUCCCAGGGCUCAACCCUGGAACUGCAUUCGAUACUGCCUGGCUAGGGUACUGGAGAGGAGACUGGAAUUUACGGUGUAGCAGUGAAAUGCGUAGAUAUCGUAAGGAAGACCAGUGGCGAAGGCGGUCUCUGGGCAUGUCCUGACGCUGAGGAGCGAAAGUGUGGGGAGCGAACAGG
rnacentral:rRNA from 1 species